rnacentral:rRNA from 1 species
AGCGAACGCUGGCGGCAGGCCUAACACAUGCAAGUCGAACGAACCUUUCGGGGUUAGUGGCGGACGGGUGAGUAACACGUGGGAACGUGCCUUUAGGUUCGGAAUAACUCAGGGAAACUUGUGCUAAUACCGAAUGUGCCCUUCGGGGGUAAGAUUUAUCGCCUUUAGAGCGGCCCGCUUCUGAUUAGCUAGUUGGUUGAGGUAAUGGCUCACCACGGCGACGAUCAGUAGCUGGUCUGAGAGGAUGAUCAGCCACAUUGGGACUGAGACACGGCCCAAACUCCUACGGGAGGCAGCAGUGGGGAAUCUUGCGCAAUGGGCGAAAGCCUGACGCAGCCAUGCCGCGUGAAUGAUGAAGGUCUUAGGAUUGUAAAAUUCUUUCACCGGGGACGAGAAUGACGGUACCCGGAGAAGAAGCCCCGGCUAACUUCGUG